rnacentral:rRNA from 1 species
AUUGAACGCUGGCGGCAUGCCUUACACAUGCAAGUCGAACGGUAACGGGCCUUCGGGUGCCGACGAGUGGCGAACGGGUGAGUAAUACAUCGGAACGUGCCCGAUCGUGGGGGAUAACGAGGCGAAAGCUUUGCUAAUACCGCAUACGAUCUACGGAUGAAAGCAGGGGACCGCAAGGCCUUGCGCGGACGGAGCGGCCGAUGGCAGAUUAGGUAGUUGGUGGGAUAAAAGCUUACCAAGCCGACGAUCUGUAGCUGGUCUGAGAGGAUGAUCAGCCACACUGGGACUGAGACACGGCCCAGACUCCUACGGGAGGCAGCAGUGGGGAAUUUUGGACAAUGGGCGCAAGCCUGAUCCAGCCAUGCCGCGUGCAAGAUGAAGGCCUUCGGGUUGUAAACUGCUUUUGUACGGAACGAAAAGCCUUCUUUUAAUACAGGAGGGUCAUGACGGUACCGUAAGAAUAAGCACCGGCUAACUACGUG